rnacentral:rRNA from 1 species
AUACGGAGGGUCCGAGCGUUAUCCGGAAUCAUUGGGUUUAAAGGGUCCGUAGGCGGGAAUCUAAGUCAGUGGUGAAAUCUUGCAGCUCAACUGUAAAAUUGCCAUUGAUACUGGAUUUCUUGAAUUAGUGUGAAGUGGUUAGAAUGUGUAGUGUAGCGGUGAAAUGCAUAGAUAUUACACAGAAUACCAAUUGCGAAGGCGGAUCACUAACACUAUAUUGACGCUAAGGGACGAAAGCGUGGGGAGCGAACAGGAUUAGAAACCCUAGUAGUCC